UACGUAGGUCCCGAGCGUUGUCCGGAUUUAUUGGGCGUAAAGCGAGCGCAGGUGGUUUAUUAAGUCUGGUGUAAAAGGCAGUGGCUCAACCACUGUAUGCAUUGGAAGCUGGUAGACUUGAGUGCAGGAGAGGAGAGUGGAAUUCCAUGUGUAGCGGUGAAAUGCGUAGAUAUAUGGAGGAACACCGGUGGCGAAAGCGGCUCUCUGGCCUGUAACUGGCACUGAGGCUCGAAAGCGUGGGGAGCAAACAGG
rnacentral:rRNA from 1 species